UACGUAGGGUGCGAGCGUUGUCCGGAAUUAUUGGGCGUAAAGAGCGUGUAGGCGGUCCGGUAAGUCCGCUGUGAAAGUCCAGGGCUCAACCCUGGAAUGCCGGUGGAUACUGCCGGGCUAGAGUCCGGAAGAGGCGAGUGGAAUUCCUGGUGUAGCGGUGAAAUGCGCAGAUAUCAGGAGGAACACCGAUGGCGAAGGCAGCUCGCUGGGACGGUACUGACGCUGAGACGCGAAAGCGUGGGGAGCAAACAGG
rnacentral:rRNA from 1 species